GCUUACGGCCAUACCAACUUAGGCAUGCUCGAUCUCGUCUGAUCUCGGAAGCUAAGCAGGGUCGGGCUUGUUUAGUACUUGGAUGGGUGACUGCCUGGGAAUACCAGGUGCUGUAAGCA
ensembl:rRNA 5S_rRNA 5S ribosomal RNA